GGCACCUGCCACACAGGUGGGGCCGCAGGUGUCGUGUGUGCCAUGCCCAAAGGUGUGCCCCCCACCUGUGCACCCCUGGUGGCCCUGCUGGGGGUGCUGACGUCACUCAGUGGGGUCCUGCUCUGGCUCACCUUGAGGACCAGGUGUGUGGGAGAAGCCCCAGGUAAAGGUCACCUAGGGGCCAUUUACCUGCCCAGGAGGGUCCCCCCUGAGGAGGUGGAGACACUGCAGCUCAUCAAGGACGAUGCCCCCUGAUCUCACCUGUCACCUCUCGCCUGCCCCCCCCAAACAUACCUGGGGGGGCUCAGGUGUCCCCACACACCUAGGGCAGGUGAAGGGGAGCAAAAAAAGUGGGAAAAUGGGGUGGAAAUUAAUAAAAUUGGGGUUUUCAGCCAUCCAGGUGAGACAGGUGUGAAUUCUGGGGGGAGGGGGGAUUGACCCUCCAGGUGUGAAUUUUGGGGGGUCCCCAAACCCUCCAGGUGUGAAAUCAGGUGAGAACACCAAUGAUGUCAUUAAUUAACCAUUCUUUAAUUAGCAUAUGCCCCGCCCAGGU